rnacentral:rRNA from 1 species
UACGUAGGUGACAAGCGUUGUCCGGAUUUACUGGGCGUAAAGAGCGCGCAGGCGGUCGUUCAAGUCGAGUGUGAAAGCCCCCGGCUCAACUGGGGAGGGUCACUCGAUACUGAUCGACUUGAAGGCAGGAGAGGGAAGCGGAAUUCCCGGUGUAGUGGUGAAAUGCGUAGAGAUCGGGAGGAAUACCGGUGGCGAAAGCGACUCUCUGGACGGCAACUGACGCUGAGGCACGAAGGUCAGGGGAGCAAACGGGG